GCCGGCGACGGCUAGUAAGGUUUGCCAACAGUCUGAAACGCUGUGGUCUGAAAAGACUUCCGGGUUCAAAUCCCGGCGCCGGCG
rnacentral:tRNA from 1 species